rnacentral:tRNA from 1 species
GUACUUGUGGUGUAGUGGUCAUCACAUUCGCUUUACACGCGAAAGGUCCCACGUUCAAUCCCUAGCAGGCACA